AUUGAACGCUGGCGGCAUGCCUAACACAUGCAAGUCGAACGGUAACAGGUCUUCGGAUGCUGACGAGUGGCGGACGGGUGAGUAAUGCGUAGGAAUCUGUCUUUUAGUGGGGGACAACCCAGGGAAACUUGGGCUAAUACCGCAUGAGCCCUGAGGGGGAAAGCGGGGGAUCUUCGGACCUCGCGCUAAGGGAAGAGCCUACGUCUGAUUAGCUAGUUGGUAGGGUAAAGGCCUACCAAGGCGACGAUCAGUAGCUGGUCUGAGAGGACGACCAGCCACACUGGGACUGAGACACGGCCCAGACUCCUACGGGAGGCAGCAGUGGGGAAUUUUUCGCAAUGGGGGCAACCCUGACGAAGCAAUGCCGCGUGGAUGAAGAAGGCCUUCGGGUUGUAAAGUCCUUUCGUGGGGGACGAAAAGGUGGUUCCUAAUACGAGCUGCUGUUGACGUGAACCCAAGAAGAAGCACCGGCUAACUCCGUGCCAGCAGCCGCGGUAAUACGUAGGGUGCGAGCGCUAAUCGGAAUCACUGGGCGUAAAGGGUGCGUAGGCGGUACGUUAGGUCUGUCGUGAAAUCCCCGGGCUCAACCUGGGAAUGGCGGUAGAAACCGGCGCACUAGAGUAUGGGAGAGGGUGGUGGAAUUCCAGGUGUAGCGGUGAAAUGCGUAGAGAUCUGGAGGAACAUCAGUGGCGAAGGCGGCCACCUGGCCCAAUACUGACGCUGAGGCACGAAAGCGUGGGGAGCAAACAGGAUUAGAUACCUGGUAGUCCACGCCCUAAACGAUGAAUACUAGAUGUUUG
rnacentral:rRNA from 1 species